rnacentral:lncRNA from 1 species
AGUAAGUUUGUUCUGGUUGUGUUGGGAGGCUCACCCACUCGAUCACACUGUCUGCUUGAUGAAGGAAUGCUGUGGGUGCCUCUUUGUGUGUAAAAAAAAAACUAUAUUUCUAAGGAUAUUUGUGUGACUUUCAACCACACCCUUCAACCUCUCUCAAAAUCUCUUGAGCUUCUUUUGCAAGCUGGCGUGGUGAGUUUAAAGCACUGUUUCCAGUUAAAAUGUCACAUAAUGGUUGUAACUGAUAGGUAGUCAAUCCUAACACUGGAUGCAUCCAUUGGAUAUCUCCUAUCAAAUUCUGAAAGUCAUUUAAGGUGUUUAGCUUCUCUGUUCUUAAGGACAGUUUUUUUACUGUGAGCACUUUAGGGUAUACUUCAUAUCCUACAUUUUCCAAGGAAACGACUUCCCACAUUGCUUACAUUCGUAAGGCUUCUCUCCAGAUUGAUGCCCGAUGAGAACUGUACUAUGGCGCAACACCUUGCCAAGGUGUAUCUCUAGUGAGAAUAUUCUAAUGUCAACUGAGGUCUCUCUUGUGAAGGAAAGCUCUCCACACUCAUUACACUUAGAAGGUUUGCCUCCAGUAUGAAUCUUUUGAUUUUGAGUAAGUUCUUUGAUCAGGUACAAGGCCUUACAACAUUCAUUACACUAAUGAGAUUUUCCUCCAAUAUGAAUUCUUCAAUGUAAAUUAAGAGCUGUAGUCAGGCAGAAAGUCUUCCCAUAGUCAUUACAUUCUUAAGAUCUUUCACAGUAUGGAUCAUCUGAUGUCAAAUGAGGUCUAUCUUGCAGCAGAAGGCCUUCCCACAAUCAUUACAUUCAUUAUUAUUUCCUCACUAGCUGGGUGCCACAUUUCCAGAUUUGACUCAACUCACAGUCCAAGGUACCAUCCCUUAUAAGACUUUCCUGGCAUAAUUCCUCCAAAGAAAUGUCCAGCUUUGGGAUUGUCUAUUUGAUUUCAGGCCUACUGUCCCAACCUGAAAGAGAGAAAAAUGUAAAUAUUCCAUUUCCUGCUGCAUUACACUUAAUCAUAUCUUCUA